CCCUGCCAGGAGAUACGAAUUCUUCAUGUUUUUGUCUUUCUGGGGUACUUGAUCGCGAUACCAACUGUUUUAACUUUCUCAAGGAAAGGAAAGGAUUCAGAAUCCCGAGAAAUUCUUUUCACUUGAAUCUGUUGUCCUUAAGCUUUCUCUUGAGGGUCUUGGAGAACCCUUUGAAUAGUUUCGAUGAUUUCAGAGUCGGCCUUCGAUAGUCGCCAUCCCGUGACAGGAUUGGCGAGUGACACAUGGUUAGGACUUCCACUUCAGGGGCUGGGAAGAAUGUAGUUUGGGUUCAAUACGAUCGGCGGGAAUUCAGAAGCUAAAUCAUCUGCCCAUUGAUCGGCCGAAGCCUUUGCUGUAGUCUCAAGCAGAGUCAUUGGCAAGGAAGCUUCAAGGACUGACCUUUUCUUGAAUUGUGAGCAGCAGAAUUCAUUUUUUAUAAGAAAAGUUAUAUACCCGGGCGUUGGUGGAGAAUGUGGGGUUUAUGAUGAAGACGUGACGGGAUUGGUUCUUGAGACCUGUCUAGCUUUCGAGCUGUGGGAGCUGGUCUCAUCUUACUGUUUUCGGUAUUGUUGAGCGCUCAUUUUACCUGAAUUCGGUCUUGAAUCACAUUAACAAGAGGAGGUCCAAGUUGAUUGUUCUCUGUAUUAAACAUGCCUCGGAUUUUGUGUCGAUGGAACUGUGCUGCAGUUUGAAGUGCUUUCUGAGCCCACCUAGAGAUGCACUUGCUACCAUGGGCCGUGCGAGGCAAGUGCGGAAAGACCAGGGAAUACUAUCUAUUAAUUAGGAUCGAGAAAGACACAGAAACUUAGCAAGGAGAAACUUUAAUUCACCUGCUAGUGAUGCAGCAGGCAAUGAUUCCGAGCUCUGUCUGCAUUAUCUGCUUGUAUCUCCUAAUGCCGAUGAAGCGGUCCUAAUGUCUGCUUGUUAUCAGUUAAUUGAAUGGAGAAGAGUCGACGAGCUUGAUUCGGUACUUGGGCAAGUAGUUGAGGAAGUACAAGAAAUUUCCUCAAGCGAUUCCAUGCCCAGGAGUUGCUUCACUGUCAGUGUUGGUUGGCUGCAACUGGGUUUUCCUAAGCUCCAUGAUGUCAUAAGAUGCAUCGGGCUGUUGGCAGAUGAGAACUUCUCCUCUUUGGUUUUGCAGUCGGGGUUCCACAAGGAGCUGGGGUCGACGGAGAGAGUGGUCAGUUCUUUCACUUGCUGAGGGGAGGCUAUGCACUACCAGUCUUCCAUGGCUAAUGUAGUUGAGAGACUUGUGAAUGAAGAUAAGCCCGUGAUUGUGUAGAGGGAAACAAGUAGCGAGGAAUCAGUAGAUGUGGAUCAAUUAUUAUCAGUUCAUCGAAGGAGAGAAAAAAAAAUUGUGCUUUACCAAUUUGCGGAGUAAUUGGUGCGAUAUAAUUUGCUUAAGAAUAGAGUAUUGUAAUCAAUAGAAAUAAGAACAUGCACUGCAGAUCCUACAAAAGAGACCUUAUUCACAAAUCUGAUGAUUCUUCCAGACGGUCACGAUGCCCAGGCCGGUCCAAUUUGAUUUCCAUAAUACAAUAAUAACAUUUCGCUUGCA